rnacentral:rRNA from 1 species
UACAGAGGGGGCAAGCGUUGUUCGGAAUUACUGGGCGUAAAGGGCGCGUAGGCGGCCUGCUAAGUCGAACGUGAAAUCCCCGGGCUCAACCCGGGAACUGCGUCCGAUACUGGUAGGCUUGAAUUCGGGAGAGGGAUGCGGAAUUCCAGGUGUAGCGGUGAAAUGCGUAGAUAUCUGGAGGAACACCGGUGGCGAAGGCGGCAUCCUGGACCGACAUUGACGCUGAGGCGCGAAAGCGUGGGGAGCGAACAGG